rnacentral:rRNA from 1 species
UAUCUGCACCAGCAUUCGAUUUAGCCAUGUUAGUCGAGGGUGCUUCUUCUUCGGAAGAAGUAACCCGGCGGACGGCUCAGUAACACGUGGAUAACUUGCCCUUGGGUCUGGGAUAACCCCUGAGAAAUUGGGGACAAUACCAGAUAGGGCAUCGAUAGCUGGAAUGCGCGAUGUCCAAAAGCUGAGGCGCCCAAGGAUAGGUCUGCGGCCGAUUAGGUUGUUGUUGAUGUAAUGGAUCAACAAGCCUGCAAUCGGUACGGGUUGUGAGAGCAAGAGCCCGGAGAUGGGUUCUGAGAAAAGAACCCAGGUCCUACGGGACGCAUCAGGCGCGAAAACUUUACAAUGUGCGAAAGCACGAUAAGGGAACUCUGAGUGCCUCCUAUGGAGGCUGUUCAGGUGUCUAAAAAGCACUUGAAGUAAGGGCUGGGUAAGACCGGUGCCAGCCGCCGCGGUAACACCGGCAGCCCAAGUGGUAGCCACGAUUAUUGGGUCUAAAGCGUCCGUAGCCGGCCAGGUAAGUUCUUUGGGAAAUUUAGUCGCUCAACGGUUAAGCUUUCAGGGAAUACUGCUUGGCUUGGGACCGGGAGAGGUCAGAGGUACUUCAAGGGUAGGGGUGAAAUCCGUUAAUCCUUGAGGGACCACCAGUAGCGAAGGCGUCUGACCAGACCGGGUCCGACGGUGAGGGACGAAGGCUAGGGUCGCGAACCGGAUUAGAUACCCGGGUAGUCCUAGCUGUAAACGAUGCGGGCCAGGUGUUGGCAUUACUGCGAGUGAUGUCAGUGCCGAAGGGAAGCCGUUAAGCCCGCCAUCUGGGGAGUACGGUCGCAAGGCUGAAACUUAAAGGAAUUGGCGGGGGAGCACCACAACGGGUGG